rnacentral:rRNA from 1 species
AGCGAACGCUGGCGGCAGGCCUAACACAUGCCAGUCGAACGGAUCCUUCGGGAUUAGUGGCGGACGGGCGAGUAACACGUGGGAACGUGCCCUUUGGUUCGGAACAACUCAGGGAAACUUGAGCUAAUACCGGAUGAGCCCUUCGGGGGAAAGAUUUAUCGCCAUUGGAGCGGCCCGCGUCUGAUUAGCUAGUUGGUGAGGUAACGGCCCACCAAGGCGACGAUCAGUAGCUGGUCUGAGAGGAUGAUCAGCCACACUGGGACUGAGACACGGCCCAGACUCCUACGGGAGGCAGCAGUGGGGAAUCUUGCGCAAUGGGCGAAAGCCUGACGCAGCCAUGCCGCGUGAAUGAUGAAGGUCUUAGGAUUGUAAAAUUCUUUCAGCGGGGACGAUAAUGACGGUACCCGCAGAAGAAGCUCCGGCUAACUUCGUG